UUUCCGUAGGUGAACCUGCGGAAGGAUCAUUAUUGCAUAACCGAGGUGCGAGGGCUGUCGCUGACCCGAAAGGUCGUGCACGCCCGAGUGCCCUCACACACAUCCAUCUCACCCCUAUGUGCACCACCGCGUGGGUCCCCCUUUGGCUUGUUCGGAGGGGGGCUUACGUUUUCACACAAACUUUGUAUGCAGUGUAGAAUGUAUUUUUUGUUUUUGCGAUCACGCAAUCAAUACAACUUUCAACAACGGAUCUCUUGGCUCAC
rnacentral:misc_RNA from 1 species